UUCCGUAGGUGAACCUGCGGAGGGAUCGUUACCUAGAGUUGUAGGCUUUGCCUGCUAUCUCUUACCCAUGUCUUUUGAGUACCUUCGUUUCCUCGGCGGGUCCGCCCGCCGAUUGGACAAAACUUAAACCCUUUGCAGUUGCAAUCAGCGUCUGAAAAGACUUAAUAGUUACAACUUUCAACAACGGAUCUCUUGGUUCUGGCAUCGAUGAAGAACGCAGCGAAAUGCGAUAAGUAGUGUGAAUUGCAGAAUUCAGUGAAUCAUCGAAUCUUUGAACGCACAUUGCGCCCCUUGGUAUUCCAUGGGGCAUGCCUGUUCGAGCGUCAUUUGUACCUUCAAGCUCUGCUUGGUGUUGGGUGUUUGUCUCGCCUCUGCGUGUAGACUCGCCUCAAAACAAUUGGCAGCCGGCGUAUUGAUUUCGGAGCGCAGUACAUCUCGCGCUUUGCACUCAUAACGACGACGAUCCAAAAGUACAUUUUUACACUCUUGACCUCGGAUCAGGUAGGGAUACCCGCUGAACUUAAGCAUAUCAAUAAGCGGGGAA
rnacentral:rRNA from 1 species